CGUGAUCAUCACGAUCUUCAGGUUUUGUAAAUUAAUGUGUGAAUGAGAUGAAUGCGAAAUCUAUUAUUUUUCUUUACUUUCUUGCAGUUGAUUACUCGAAGUCAUCUGGGCGUGAUCCUCACGAUUGCUUUCGUCGAACAGGAUCGACGGCCGAGACGCACACCACCGACCAGACAAUCCCUUAGCGGGGCGUGAUCAUCACGAUCUUCAGGUUUUGUAAAUUAAUGUGUGAAUGAGAUGAAUGCGAAAUCUAUUAUUUUUCUUUACUUUCUUGCAGUUGAUUACUCGAAGUCAUCUGGGCGUGAUCCUCACGAUUGCUUUCGUCGAACAGGAUCGACGGCCGAGACGCACACCACCGACCAGAUAAUCCCUUAGCGGGACGUGAUCCUCACGAUCGCUUUCGUCGAUUAAGAAUGGCGGCACACAGAAGAACAAGACGCACACCGCCAACCAAACGUCAUCUUCAGUUGAUUACUCGAAGUCAUCUGGGCGUGAUCCCCACGAUCGCUUUCGUCGAACAGGAUCGACGGCCGAGACGCACACCACCGACCAGACAAUCCCUUAGCGGGGCGUGAUCCUCACGAUCGCUUUCGUCGAACAGGAUCGACGGCCGAGACGCACACCACCGACCAGACAAUCCCUUAGCGGGGCGUGAUCAUCACGAUCUUCAGUUGAUUACUCGAAGUCAUCUGGGCGUGAUCCCCACGAUCGCUUUCGUCGAACAGGAUCGACGGCCGAGACGCACACCACCGACCAGACAAUCCCUUAGCGGGGCGUGAUCCUCACGAUCGCUUUCGUCGAACAGGAUCGACGGCCGAGACGCACACCACCGACCAGACAAUCCCUUAGCGGGGCGUGAUCAUCACGAUCUUCAGUUGAUUACUCGAAGUCAUCUGGGCGUGAUCCCCACGAUCGCUUUCGUCGAACAGGAUCGACGGCCGAGACGCACACCACCGACCAGACAAUCCCUUAGCGGGGCGUGAUCCUCACGAUCGCUUUCGUCGAACAGGAUCGACGGCCGAGACGCACACCACCGACCAGACAAUCCCUUAGCGGGGCGUGAUCAUCACGAUCGCUUUCGUCGAACAGGAUCGACGGCCGAGACGCACACCACCGACUAAACAAUCCCUUAGCGGCAAUCCCAGGAUCGGCGGCCGAGACGCACACCACCGACCACCCUUAGCUGGGCGUGAUCCUCACGAUCGCUUUCGUCGAUCGAGAGCAGUGGCUGACAUUAAUUUCCGAAGGCUUACGCGUUUGGAAACCAUUACGACCAUGGUUGGCAGCUUCGGUGCUUAACGCGACAAACCAUUUUUUUAAUUAUUUCAGUAUUUUAGUUUAGGCUCGUUAGGUUUUUCUCUAACCUCCGCAUAUCUUAGCUUAAGAUUGACUGUUUCUUAACAUUUGCAUUUAAGUGAUUUUUGUAAUAAACAAAGAAUUUUGGUGAAGAUUGUAUGGUGCGUUUUAUUUUAUUUCUCUUAGCUUUUUUUUAUCACACAUCAUACAACCAACUCAAGCAUUUCCUCGAUUUUCUUCUUGGAGUUUUCGCACUUCUCUUACUCAUGCUCGAACUGCCCGGAACCGUUCGAACUCUCAAAGCCGUUGCUAGACUAGAGACGGAUACUGUUCCGGCGUACGGAAAAGAAUGAAUAAUAGCGACGAGGAGCACAGAUUGCGGAUCACUUUUCAAUUCAAGCCGCCUCGCCCUUGCAGCAUCGUUUUGGUAAAUGUUAAAGUUUAACUACUCAUAAAUAUCCUGCCGGUGAGUUCCCGUUGACCAGCCCCAGCAGCUCCAGCCUUAAACAUUCUCGAUCUGGGUGUCAUUCAGCUGCUGCAGCAGAUUAAAUCAAUGAUUUUCGCCCCGUAAUUAGCAGGAACCGAUCGCACGUUGUACCGCUGUGCGCGCGUCCGCAACUACCAUCACCGUGUGGCAAACGC